UACGGAGGGGGCUAGCGUUGUUCGGAAUUACUGGGCGUAAAGCGCACGUAGGCGGCUUUGUAAGUUAGAGGUGAAAGCCCGGAGCUCAACUCCGGAAUUGCCUUUAAGACUGCAUCGCUCGAAUCAUGGAGAGGUGAGUGGAAUUCCGAGUGUAGAGGUGAAAUUCGUAGAUAUUAGGAAGAACACCAGUGGCGAAGGCGGCUCACUGGCCCGGUACUGACGCUGAGGCGCGAAAGCGUGGGGAGCAAACAGG
rnacentral:rRNA from 1 species